rnacentral:rRNA from 1 species
GAUGAACGCUAGCUACAGGCUUAACACAUGCAAGUCGAGGGGCAGCAUGGUCUUAGCUUGCUAAGGCUGAUGGCGACCGGCGCACGGGUGAGUAACACGUAUCCAACCUGCCGUCUACUCUUGGCCAGCCUUCUGAAAGGAAGAUUAAUCCAGGAUGGCAUCAUGAGUUCACAUGUCCGCAUGAUUAAAGGUAUUUUCCGGUAGACGAUGGGGAUGCGUUCCAUUAGAUAGUAGGCGGGGUAACGGCCCACCUAGUCAACGAUGGAUAGGGGUUCUGAGAGGAAGGUCCCCCACAUUGGAACUGAGACACGGUCCAAACUCCUACGGGAGGCAGCAGUGAGGAAUAUUGGUCAAUGGGCGAUGGCCUGAACCAGCCAAGUAGCGUGAAGGAUGACUGCCCUAUGGGUUGUAAACUUCUUUUAUAAAGGAAUAAAGUCGGGUAUGCAUACCCGU